AGCAGCCGCGGUAAUUCCAGCUCCAAUAGCGUAUAUUAAAGUUGUUGCAGUUAAAAAGCUCGUAGUUGAAUUUCGGGGUCAGUAGGCUGGUCGUGCCACGGGUAUGUACUGGUCUCACUGAUUCCUCCUUCCUGAUGAACCGUAAUGCCAUUAAUUUGGUGUUGCGGGGAAACUGGACUGUUACUUUGAAAAAAUUAGAGUGUUUAAAGCAGGCUAACGCUUGAAUACAUUAGCAUGGAAUAAUGAAAUAGGACGUUGAUCUUAUUUUGUUGGUUUCUAGGAUUGACGUAAUGAUUAAUAGGGAUAGUUGGGGGCAUUAGUAUUCAAUUGUCAGAGGUGAAAUUCUUGGAUUUAUUGAAGACUAACUACUGCGAAAGCAUUUGCCAAGGAUGUUUUCAUUAAUCAAGAACGAAAGUUAGGGGAUCGAAGACGAUCAGAUACCGUCGUAGUCUUAACCAUAAACUAUGCCGACUAGGGAUCGGAUGAUGUCAAUUUUUUAAUGACUCA
rnacentral:rRNA from 1 species